AGUGAACGCUGGCGGUAGGCCUAACACAUGCCAGUCGAACGGCAGCACAGUAAGAGCUUGCUCUUACGGGUGGCGAGUGGCGGACGGGUGAGGAAUACAUCGGAAUCUACUUUUUCGUGGGGGAUAACGUAGGGAAACUUACGCUAAUACCGCAUACGACCUACGGGUGAAAGCAGGGGAUCUUCGGACCUUGCGCGAUUGAAUGAGCCGAUGUCGGAUUAGCUAGUUGGCGGGGUAAAGGCCCACCAAGGCGACGAUCCGUAGCUGGCCUGAGAGGAUGAUCAGCCACACUGGAACUGAGACACGGUCCAGACUCCUACGGGAGGCAGCAGUGGGGAAUAUUGGACAAUGGGCGCAAGCCUGAUCCAGCCAUACCGCGUGGGUGAAGAAGGCCUUCGGGUUGUAAAGCCCUUUUGUUGGGAAAGAAAAGCAGCAGGUUAAUACCCCGCUGUUCUGACGGUACCCAAAGAAUAAGCACCGGCUAACUUCGUG
rnacentral:rRNA from 1 species